rnacentral:lncRNA from 1 species
AAGUAAAAUACUUACCUUAAAUCCAGAAUUAAUCUUGAAGGAAGUUCAUAGAACGGUUAACAAUCAUUAUGCUCAAUAUUAUGUAAAAAUUGAGCAUCGUGCAUGUAUCCAAAGCUAUAUUUUGAAAAUUUGCGUGGGCCCCUCUUAUGGAGAUAAGCGUAAUAUUCUUCAUGAACAUCCUCCUAAAUUUAAGACUGACAUUCCAAGCCAUAAUUCUCGAUUGCUGCAAAUUUUCACCGUACAAUGAAAGAGAUUCUCCAAAAUUACAAACCCAAAGCGAUUACAGACAAGAACUUCACCAAACCCGGCAACCUCGAAUCAGCAGGGAUUUAAAGAUGUAGAGGAUUAUUCUGUCCGUUUGCCAUGUGAUUGCUAGGACGUAAAAACAAAUUCACUACUGAGAGUAGUCUUGUCUCUCAAGUCCAAUUUCAUACAUAAUUAGUUUCCAAAAAAAGAUGAACAAGAAGGAACAAAGCUGUCGGAUAAACUAAAACCGACCACCGGCAUCUUCUUUCGCUGGAGAAGCUCCAGAACCGGCGCGGAGGGA